rnacentral:misc_RNA from 1 species
GCCUCGACGCGAUUCCACGGUAAACAGAGCCGACGGUGCCAACCGCCGGACCAAAAACUAACCUAUACGACGUUUCGCUUCGCACGGGAAAAAAAAAAAUUGCGUGGAAACUGCGGUAGGAAGAAGAAGAAGAAAAAACGAAAGCGAGGAGAAAAAAAAACUCACCGAGGGUUAGAAGAGGACGGACGACAGAGCAGCGUGUCGUACUUCGGGUCUGUCAAUUUCGGGAUAAGCGGGAUGACGACGACGACGACGACGACGACGACGACGAGAGAGCGGCGGGACGUCUUCCGUUCCUAAAACUUUGUAACGUCUUCUUACGCAAUUGUUCCCACGGUGGUUCGCAGCACGUCAGAUAUAGGUAUGUUGUAACGAACGUGAAGAAAAGGAUGUAAAUAAAAAUUCGAACGGAAGAAGAAAAAAAAAAAAAAAGGAUAAAAAUAAUAUGGACACUUCGCGCACGAUUUUUGGGUAGCGAGGGAAACGCGCACCGCACAACGACUUUCACCGAGAACUUUUGCGAACCCAGCGCGGAAAGUGACAGCGAGGAGGACAAUCGCGGUUGGAACGAAGCGAAGCAAACGGUUAUUGUUUUAGCCAGAUAAAACUGGAAGACGGAGGAGCGUGCUGCUCUCGCCGCUUGCGCCUCACUUGCCACAUCUGUAAAAGACAGCGGACUGUCGUCUCGGCUCCGCAGAUCCCGAAGAGUCGCUAGGAAAAGGUACCGAGAUCCACCGAGGGCGGCGGCACCGGGCGGCAGGAAUUCUUCGGAUCCGACAGCGACAUCGUUCAACCCCUACGACAACCAAAAUUCAACAAUCGAAGGAUAGAAUUCAAAAUGUCGCGCACCGAACGCGCCGGGAAAUCGUCCGUUUCUUUUCGUCCAUAUCAGAUUAUCGGAAAUAAGGACAUUCUUCGCGACCUGUUCACCUUCGUUCGCAGGACUGGAGGGGGUGGGAAUUCGCCCCUUCGAUUCAAGAGGAGAAAAAAAUAAGUCGGAAUCAGGAUCAUCCGAAUCUUAACGAUUAUCCGAUCGCCGGGUAAUCCGCAUCCUUCCCGACAAUGAGACCGAGGAGAAUCGAGAGGGUUGAAAUUAUACGGCGAAAAAAAGUUUCGCUCUCCCGAUGCAUUAGACCGAAAACAAGAUGGACGCCACGUUGGAAAGAACUGACAACUUUUCCGUGUCUGAUCUGCACAGUUACACCUGUUUCACCGUAGAGAUCUUCGAGUCCCUUCGUCGGUGGAGUCAGCAGUUUCAUCGAAGGACUUUGAAUUGCCUCCGUCUCCGGUAACAGCCACAAUUUUCCCAAAACUCAUCCACUCAGUCACCAAACUUAUUCAACUCCAACGAGUCCUCUGCUGUAUAUCCAGGUGCUGGGGGUGCAAAGUAACUAUAACCGGAAGGAUCAAAUCCAAAGUCUGGAUCUAUUCCUGUGUAACAAAUGUCUUAUCAAUUAUGCACGCAGGAGCGUAGAGACCCUGUAAAAAGGUUACAAAAGGUAUAGAAUAAUCAACCGAGAACGACGUCGAGCCAGUGUCAAAGGUCAUGGAUAAAAAUCCAGGAGCGCACAAUCGAUAAGGAUCGCGUCUCUUUCUCGUUCCAAAGGGUCCGUCACACGUGGACACGAUUUGCAUUAUACGCGACGCGUGAUCCUGCGUCAGAUCGUCCCGUCCAGAUAACGGAACGAACGAACGAGAACGCCCGAUAAUUAUUCCGCUCCCAAAAAACAAAAAAAAACAAACAAACAAACAAACAAACAAACAAAACACAAAAAAAAAAAAAAAAAAAAUCGAACGGAAAGGCCUCUUCCGGCGCGCGUUACAAUUUUCGGGAUCUCGGACGGUCUG